UGAGACUCAGCCUGUGUGAAGUGGUGAAACAAAAUUCUGAAUGGCAAGACCAUUUCAAUGUUGACCAGCUCAGGAUGUACCUCACUUCUCACCCAGAGUGAGCUGACAGAGGCGUCAGCACACCCGUGGCGCUUGCAAGGAUAAUUGGACACAAGAUUUCAGCAACAUCACCAAGGCCUUUUUAAUGGAUUUUAAUGGAUUUCAUUUUAUAUCUUUUUGGCCCUUGCAAUGUUCCAAGCAAAUUGACACGAUGUUCCAGCUGCUUUUGCAAUGCUGUCCAGACUUCCCUUUUCCCCAGCAACUUCAUCCAGCUCUUCCAGGAGGAUCCCGAUGUGUCAUUAGGCCAGCCGAGAGAUGUAAUGUCUCGAGUGUGUUCUGGUUCAUCACUGGGGUCUCUUUCCGGCAGUACAUGCCUGAAACACCUCAAAAGGGAGGUGUCCAGGAGGGAUCCAAAUCAGAUGCCCCAGCCACCUCAUCUGACUCCUUUCAGUGCGGACGAGCAGCAGCACGGAACUGAGUCCUUCCUGGAUGACCAAACU